rnacentral:rRNA from 1 species
UAUGUAGCAGCCGCGGUAAUACGUAGGGGGCUAGCGUUAUCCGGAUUUACUGGGCGUAAAGGGUGCGUAGGCGGUCUUUUAAGUCAGGAGUGAAAGGCUACGGCUCAACCGUAGUAAGCUCUUGAAACUGGAGGACUUGAGUGCAGGAGAGGAGAGUGGAAUUCCUAGUGUAGCGGUGAAAUGCGUAGAUAUUAGGAGGAACACCAGUAGCGAAGGCGGCUCUCUGGACUGUAACUGACGCUGAGGCACGAAAGCGUGGGGAGCAAACAGG